UACAGAGGUCUCAAGCGUUGUUCGGAUUCAUUGGGCGUAAAGGGCUCGUAGGUGGCCAACUAAGUCAGACGUGAAAUCCCUCGGCUUAACCGGGGAACUGCAUCUGAUACUGGAUGGCUUGAGUUUGGGAGAGGGAUGCGGAAUUCCAGGUGUAGCGGUGAAAUGCGUAGAUAUCUGGAGGAACACCGGUGGCGAAGGCGGCAUCCUGGACCAACACUGACACUGAGGAGCGAAAGCCAGGGGAGCAAACGGG
rnacentral:rRNA from 1 species